AUGGCGACCGGCGCACGGGUGAGUAACGCGUAUGCAACCUGCCCGAUACCGGGGUAUAGCCCAUGGAAACGUGGAUUAACACCCCAUAGUACUUUUAUCCUGCCUGGGAUGUGAGUUAAAUGUUCAAGGUAUCGGAUGGGCAUGCGUCCUAUUAGUUAGUUGGCGGGGUAACAGCCCACCAAGACGAUGAUAGGUAGGGGUUCUGAGAGGAAGGUCCCCCACAUUGGAACUGGGACACGGUCCAA
rnacentral:rRNA from 1 species